GACGAACGCUGGCGGCGUGCUUAACACAUGCAAGUCGAGCGGUAAGGCCCUUCGGGGUACACGAGCGGCGAACGGGUGAGUAACACGUGAGCAAUCUGCCCUUCUCUUUGGAAUAACCAUUGGAAACGAUGGCUAAUGCCGAAUAUGAACCCCCUUCGCAUGUUGGGGGUUGGAAAGCUCCGGCGGAGAUGGAUGAGCUCGCGGCCUAUCAGCUUGUUGGUGAGGUAAUGGCUCACCAAGGCAUUGACGGGUAGCCGGCCUGAGAGGGUGACCGGCCACACUGGGACUGAGACACGGCCCAGACUCCUACGGGAGGCAGCAGUGGGGAAUAUUGGACAAUGGGCGAAAGCCUGAUCCAGCAACGCCGCGUGAGGGAUGACGGCCUUCGGGUUGUAAACCUCUUUCAGCAGGGACGAAGCGAGAGUGACGGUACCUGCAGAAGAAGGACCGGCCAACUACGUGCCAGCAGCCGCGGUAAUACGUAGGGUCCGAGCGUUGUCCGGAAUUAUUGGGCGUAAAGGGCUCGUAGGCGGUUUGUCGCGUCGGGAGUGAAAACUCAGGGCUCAACCCUGAGCGUGCUUCCGAUACGGGCAGACUAGAGGUAUUCAGGGGAGAACGGAAUUCCUGGUGUAGCGGUGGAAUGCGCAGAUAUCAGGAGGAACACCGGUGGCGAAGGCGGUUCUCUGGGAAUUACCUGACGCUGAGGAGCGAAAGCAUGGGGAGCGAACAGGAUUAGAUACCCUGGUAGUCCAUGCCGUAAACGUUGGGCGCUAGGUGUGGGGACCUUCCACGGUUUCCGUGCCGCAGCUAACGCAUUAAGCGCCCCGCCUGGGGAGUACGGCCGCAAGGCUAAAACUCAAAGGAAUUGACGGGGGCCCGCACAAGCGGCGGAGCAUGCUGAUUAAUUCGAUGCAACGCGAAGAACCUUACCUGGGUUUGACAUAUGCCGGAAAGCUGCAGAGAUGUGGCCUCCUUUUGGCCGGUAUACAGGUGGUGCAUGGCUGUCGUCAGCUCGUGUCGUGAGAUGUUGGGUUAAGUCCCGCAACGAGCGCAACCCUCGUUCUAUGUUGCCAGCACGUUAUGGUGGGGACUCAUAGGAGACUGCCGGGGUCAACUCGGAGGAAGGUGGGGAUGACGUCAAGUCUUCAUGCCCCUUAUGUCCAGGGCUUCAAGCAUGCUACAAUGGCCGGUACAAAGGGCUGCGAAACUGUAAGGUGGAGCGAAUCCCAAAAAGCCGGUCUCAGUUCGGAUUGGGGUCUGUAACUCGACCCCAUGAAGUCGGAGUCGCUAGUAAUCGCAGAUCAGCAACGCUGCGGUGAAUACGUUCCCGGGCCU
rnacentral:rRNA from 1 species